rnacentral:lncRNA from 1 species
AUUGCUGAAAUAUCCUCGAACUAGGAUUCUAAUCGAACUUAAUAUCCUGAAUUAAAACAUCAGUCAAUUUAGCACCUGAAUUAAUUUAAAUUGUCAAUUUUACACAUGCCGUUAGAUUUUAUGGAAUUUCAUCCAAUCUUAUGUUUAAACCCAAUCAUGUGACGCAUACAUGUGAACUAUUUGGAGGGCAAUUUUGUCCAACUAAGUCCUUUCUCUCCC